UGAAACACGGACCAAGGAGUCUAGCAUGUGCGCGAGUCAUUGGGAUUUACUAAACCUAAAGGCGCAAUGAAAGUGAAGGUCAGCUUUGCGCGGGCCAAGGGAAGAUGGGCGUUGCGUCCUGUAAAGGCGCGCACGCCCCGCAUUCCCGGGGCGUCUCGUUCUCAUCGCGAGAAGAGGCGCACCCAGAGCGUACACGCUGGGACCCGAAAGAUGGUGAACUAUGCCUGGUCAGGACGAAGUCAGGGGAAACCCUGAUGGAGGUCCGUAGCGAUUCUGACGUGCAAAUCGAUCGUCGGAACUGGGUAUAGGGGCGAAAGACUAAUCGAACCAUCUAGUAGCUGGUUCCCUCCGAAGUUUCCCUCAGGAUAGCUGGCGCUCGUCUUGUACGAGUCUCAUCCGGUAAAGCGAAUGAUUAGAGGCAUUGGGGUCGAAACGGCCUCAACCUAUUCUCAAACUUUAAAUGGGUGAGAUCUCCGGCUUGCUCGAACUGUUGAAGCCGCGAGACACGGAUCAGAGUGCCAAGUGGGCCAUUUUUGGUAAGCAGAACUGGCGCUGUGGGAUGAACCAAACGCCGAGUUAAAGCGCCUAAAUCGACGCUUAUGGGAUACCAUGAAAGGCGUUGGUAACUUAAGACAGCAGGACGGUGGCCAUGGAAGUCGGAAUCCG
rnacentral:rRNA from 1 species